GCUUGCGCGGCUGUGUAGGGGGUUGUGGCGGGCCGGAGAGUCCCCGAGUGACUUAACAUUCUCUAAAAAUACCCCAUUUUUGAACUUCGACGACCUGGGUUGGCCUGCUCACUCUGUGUCCCUGCGCUCCUCUGCUUCUCUGCUCCUUCGGUCUUGUGUGCUGGGGACACGUGGGCCUUUCCAGUUCCCUGCAGCCACCUUUGGUCUGUAGGAAGGCAGUGGCGCAGGGAGCGGUGGGAGCCCGGGUCUGCAGGGCUCAAGGUGGCGACGGCGAAGCGGUCUGCCCCACCCGCCACCCCCACCCGCAGGAUGCGCAUCGCCAGUGCAGCCCGGGUCGUGGCCCCCCAACAGACCCAGUCCCGCCGCGACACGGCAGCAGCACCUCUUCGCCGCGACACGGCAGCAGCACCUCUUCGGCCCUUUGAGCUCUUCCCUCCUUAUUUCUCAGUCUCAUGCUACACUGCGAUUCUUUUAUUUAUUUGCUAUUUUAGGCAGUAUCCGCCGGCUCUCUACCAUGGACACUCAGUGAGGAUUUGGUUCUCUUAGGUAUGAACCCUGUGCUUCACCUCCUGUGAGCUCCAAGACUCAUUUCAUCAGUUUUGGGAUGCAUCAGUAUUUGGUGUUUACAGUAUUAUGGUUAUGUAAAUAUUGUUCCCAGCUGAGCUGUGCAGUACAUUGUGACAACAUUUUCCAUUUUGUGUUGUUUGUUUUCCUGGGAAUUCAUAAUAGCCUGUUUUCUUCUUGCAUCAAGCUGGACACUCAGUGGAUCCUUUCAAAUCUGGAGACAUGACCUUCGGUUCUGGGAAGCUGGAAGGCACAAGUGCUGUUUUUACAAGCUCUGAACUCAUCUUGUUUCUGUCCCCACCUGCCCCCCCACUUCCAGAGGGACCUUGUGACUCCCAGGCUAUGUAUCUGGGGGGCCUCUGGCCUUGAAUGGUUCCCUCGACAUGCAGAAUUUGGUUGCAGCUUCCUCCACUCUGCCUAGGUGAUUACUAUUAAUUUUCCAGCUUCGAAAAUUCUGUAGGCUGGAUGCGGUGGCUCGCUUCUGUAAUCCCAGCACUUUGGGAGGCUGAAUCAGGAAGAUCGCUUGAGUCCAGGAAUUCAAGACCAGCCUGGGCAACGUGGCAAGACCCUGUCUCUACAGAAGAAUUUAAAAUUAGUGGGGUGUGGUGGCGCACGCCUGUGGGCCCAGCUACUCUGGAGCUUGAAGCGGGAGGAUCACUUGAGUCCAGGAGGUUGAGGCUGCAGUGAGCAAAGAUUACGCCACUGCAAUCCAGCCUGGGUGCCAGAGAGAGACCCUGUCUCCAAAGGAAAAGUUCUGUAGACUUUUUGUCCUUGCCAUUGACUUUCUUUGUCAUUGACUUUCUUUAUAAGUUUGCGACUUAAACAUUUUUCCUUAUAUUGUCAUCUUAGUGGGGUUUGGAGAGGGAAAAGAGAAAAAUAUCCCUGUUAGUUCCAUGUUAGCUAGAAGUCCCUCUCACUCUGAGCAUCUACUAUGUGCCACAGCCUAUUUUAAGCCAGCCCUUA
ensembl:lncRNA novel transcript